rnacentral:rRNA from 1 species
CAGCAGCCGCGGUAAUACGAAGGGUGCAAGCGUUACUCGGAAUUACUGGGCGUAAAGCGUGCGUAGGUGGUUGUUUAAGUCUGUUGUGAAAGCCCUGGGCUCAACCUGGGAAUUGCAGUGGAUACUGGGCGACUAGAGUGUGGUAGAGGGUAGUGGAAUUCCUGGUGUAGCAGUGAAAUGCGUAGAGAUCAGGAGGAACAUCCAUGGCGAAGGCAGCUACCUGGACCAACACUGACACUGAGGCACGAAAGCGUGGGGAGCAAACAGGAUUAGAUACCCUGGUAGUCCACGCCCUAAACGAUGCGAACUGGAUGUUGGGUGCAAUUUGGCACGCAGAAUCGAAGCUAACGCGUUAAGUUCGCCGCCUGGGGAGUACGGUCGCAAGACUGAAACUCAAAG